GUUAGCCAGGCUGGUCUCGAACUCCUGGCCUCAAGUGAUCACCCGUCUCUGCCUCUCAAAGUGCUGGGAUUACAGGCGUGAGCCACUACGCCCAGCCACAGCUGCUAUUAAUUAUCCUCAUAAAGGUAGUUCCAAAUACAGGCUCUGGAUGGAGUGAUAGGAUGUCUCCUAUCUCCUAAAGCUGACAAUUUUUGUGUGGCUGAUUGAACAAGCACUCUGGAAAACGACAGACACCGCUGUCCCCAGGCUGAGCAGAUGAGCUCUGAGAUCAAUUUGAAUCUUGUACAACUCCAGCCUCACCCUUCCUCUGUUUCAUGGUAACCCUUAUGUGACCAUUCCUCCGAGGGAAACCAAGAGCGUGAUUCUGAAGUUCGCCUGUGCUCCUUGAUACCUGAUUGUGCAAUUUCCUGCAGCCUGGAGACACCUCCCAGCAGGCGGAGAAACUGCGUGGAUUGCUGGGAGAAACUGUCAUCGAAGGGACACGCCACGUUUUCAAAGGCAGGACAGGUUGCAGGGCUGGACCGCAGAUGUCUGCACUGAUCCCCAGAUCAUAGAAGGUGCAUCUUACCCAUUUCUCCAUUUGGGCUGGAACUGGGGAGGUAUCAAGUCUUGCAUCUGGUGCCAUAGUUAAGCCAUUGCGUCUCUAUCUUUCCGACUCCUCAUCUCUGCAACGACCAGGCGAACAGCCCUCCCUCUGCACCCAGUUUUGCUGAGAGCAAAGCAAGACUGAUGCAUUCUGUCACACAAUGCUCAGAACUGAACAAAUGCCAGCCAUGGCUUGGUGGUGGCUCUGGUGUCAUUUGUCACUGAAGCAGCAAACUCAGUUGAGGGGUUAUGUUUUCUGCAGUUUGGGGGCCCUUAAUCCAGGCAUGGGGAGAAGAUCUGUACGUAGAAAAAAGCUUUGGAAUUCUGGCCUCUGAAGCGGUCUUUGGGAAGCACUGUCUGGGGUUCAGAAAUAGACAUUUCACUAAUUAUUGUGUUCAUCGCUUACUUAUCAUUUUUAGUGAUUUCUCUUUUACCCCCUUAUAAUUAUUUGCCUUCAUUCUGGAAUAUGUUGUCUGAUGUCUUUUGCCUUGACACAUGCCAUCUUUUGUUUAUUUGUUUGUUUUCUUCCUUCUAAUCAUAACAGAUUUAUUGUGAACUCAUUUUUGUCCUGACCCCUUAGGCUGCAUUUCAUAGACUUAGAAUAAAGCCGUUGUUUUCAUUUU